rnacentral:rRNA from 1 species
AGUGAACGCUGGCGGUAGGCCUAACACAUGCAAGUCGAACGGCAGCACGGUAAGAGCUUGCUCUUACGGGUGGCGAGUGGCGGACGGGUGAGGAAUACAUCGGAAUCUACUUUUUCGUGGGGGAUAACGUAGGGAAACUUACGCUAAUACCGCAUACGACCUACGGGUGAAAGCAGGGGAUCUUCGGACCUUGCGCGAUUGGAUGAGCCGAUGUCGGAUUAGCUAGUUGGCGGGGUAAAGGCCCACCAAGGCGACGAUCCGUAGCUGGUCUGAGAGGAUGAUCAGCCACACUGGAACUGAGACACGGUCCAGACUCCUACGGGAGGCAGCAGUGGGGAAUAUUGGACAAUGGGCGCAAGCCUGAUCCAGCCAUACCGCGUGGGUGAAAAAGGCCUUCGGGUUGUAAAGCCCUUUUGUUGGGAAAGAAAAGCAGCAGGUUAAUACCCCGCUGUUCUGACGGUACCCAAAGAAUAAGCACCGGCUAACUUCGUG